rnacentral:rRNA from 1 species
AUUGAACGCUGGCGGCAGGCUUAACACAUGCAAGUCGAACGAGUGGCGGACGGGUGAGUAAUGCUUGGGAAUCUCGCUUAUGGAGGGGGAUAACUACGGGAAACUGUAGCUAAUACCGCGUACCAUAGGAUGAGCCCAGGUGGGAUUAGGUUGUUGGUGAGGUAAAGGCUCACCAAGACGAAGAUCUCUAGCUGGUCGGAGAGGAUGACCAGCCACACUGGAACUGAGACACGGCCCAGACUCCUACGGGAGGCAGCAGUGGGGAAUAUUGCACAAUGGGCGCAAGCUGAUGCAGCCAUGCCGCGUGAAUGAAGAAGGCCUUCGGGUUGUAAAGUUCUUUCGGUGGCGAGGCGUUAACUACAGAAGAAGCACCGGCUAACUCCGUGCCAGCCGCCGCGGUAAUAC